rnacentral:rRNA from 1 species
GAUGAACGCUGGCGGCGUGCUUAACACAUGCAAGUCGAACGGGAAAUAUUUCAUUGAGACUUCGGUGGAUUUGAUUUAUUUCUAGUGGCGGACGGGUGAGUAACGCGUGGGUAACCUGCCUUAUACAGGGGGAUAACAGUCAGAAAUGGCUGCUAAUACCGCAUCAGCGCACAGAGCUGCAUGGCUCAGUGUGAAAAACUCCGGUGGUAUAAGAUGGACCCGCGUUGGAUUAGCUAGUUGGUGGGGUAACGGCCCACCAAGGCGACGAUCCAUAGCCGGGCUGAGAGGGUGAACGGACACAUUGGGACGGAGACACGGCCCAGACUCCUACGGGAGGCAGCAGUGGGGAAUAUUGCAAAAUGGGGGAAACACUGAUGCAGCGACGCCGCGUGAAGGAAGAAGUAUCUCGGUAUGUAAACUUCUAUCAGCAGGGAAGAUAGUGACGGUACCUGACUAAGAAGCCACGGCUAACUACGUG